ensembl:snRNA U1 U1 spliceosomal RNA
AUACUUACCUGGCAGGUAAGAUACCAUGAUCAAGAAGGCGGUUCACCUAGGGCAAGGCUCAGCCAUCGCACUCCGGCUGUGCUGACCGCUGUGAAUUCCCCAAAUGUGGGAAACUUGACUGCUUUAUUUCUGGUAGCGGGGGAUUGCGUUUGCUCUCUCCCGAU